CCUACGGGAGGCAGCAGUGGGGAAUAUUGCACAAUGGGGGAAACCCUGAUGCAGCAACGCCGCGUGAGUGAGGAAGUAUUUCGGUAUGUAAAGCUCUAUCAGCAGGGAAUAGAAAAGAAGGUACCUGAAAAAGAAUCCCCGGUUAACUACGUGCAAGCAGCCGCGGUAUUACGUCGGGGGCACGCGUUAAUCGGAUUUACUGGGUGUAAAGGGAGCGUAGACGGAAAGGCAAGUCAGAAGUGAAAGCCCACGGCUCAACCCUGGAAUUGCUUGUGAAACUGUCAACAUUGAGGGCGGGAGGGGUAAGAGGAAUUCCUAGUGUAGCGGUGAAAUGCGUAGAUAUUAGGAGGAACACCAGUGGCGAAGGCGUCUUACUGGACCGAAACUGACGUUGAGGCUCGAAAGCGUGGGGAGCAAACAGGAUUAGAUACCCUUGUAGUC
rnacentral:rRNA from 1 species